rnacentral:lncRNA from 1 species
CGAAUAUGUAGCUGCGAAAACAUCACUUUCUCAAUUACAGGAAGCUAUGAUACAUUAGUUGUAGGGCAGCAAAACUGAGACAAUCAAGUUGCUUCACAGAAAUUCACAACUGAAACAUAGAUAGCAUCACGAGCAAUCAGAUUGCCAUAGUUCUGCGGCUAAAAUCAUGAUUUCUUGAGCUACAAUCAUGCUUUGAAAAGGCAUUACCACGAAUGAGUACUCACUAAUGUGUAUCAGGGCACAAUGUUCCAUGCUAGCU